CCUACGGGGAGCUGCAGUGAGGAAUAUUGGUCAAUGGACGGAAGUCUGAACCUGCCAUGCCGCGUGCAGGAAGACGGCUCUAUGAGUUGUAAACUGCUUUUGUACAAGGGUAAACCUGAAUACGUGUAUUCAGCUGAAAGUACUGUACGAAUAAGGAUCGGCUAACUCCGUGCCAGCAGCCGCGGUAAUACGGAGGAUCCAAGCGUUAUCCGGAUUUAUUGGGUUUAAAGGGUGCGUAGGCGGAUUGAUAAGUUAGAGGUGAAAUGUCCGAGCUUAACUCGGGAACUGCCUCUAAUACUGUUGAUCUAGAGAGUAGAUGCGGUAGGCGGAAUGUAUGGUGUAGCGGGGAAAUGCUUAGAGAUCAUACAGAACACCGAUUGCGAAGGCAGCUUACCAAUCUAUAUCUGACGUUGAGGCACGAAAGCGUGGGGAGCAAACAGGAUUAGAUACCCUAGUAGUC
rnacentral:rRNA from 1 species